GUCAUGGUAGUAUAAUGGCCAGUACACGUCGUUGUGGCUUCUUUGAACCUCAUCGAUUCGACGCUCCGUCGAGAUCCGGGUUCGAUUCCCGGCCGUGACA